CCAAUAGCGUAUAUUAAAGUUGUUGCAGUUAAAAAGCUCGUAGUUGAAUUUCGGAAUCAGUACGUUGGUCGUGCCUUAGGUAUGCACUGGCGUCGCUGGUUUCUCCCUUCUGACGAACCGUGAUGUCAUUAAUUUGGUGUUGCGGGGAAUCAGGACUGUUACUUUGAAAAAAUUAGAGUGUUUAAAGCAGGCUCACGCUUGAAUACAUUAGCAUGGAAUAAUGAAAUAGGACGUUUGAUUCUAUUUUGUUGGUUUCUAGGAUCGACGUAAUGAUUAAUAGGGAUAGUUGGGGGCAUUAGUAUUCAAUUGUCAGAGGUGAAAUUCUUGGAUUUAUUGAAGACUAACUACUGCGAAAGCAUUUGCCAAGGAUGUUUUCAUUAAUCAAGAACGAAAGUUAGGGGAUCGAAGACGAUCAGAUACCGUCGUAGUCUUAACCAUAAACUAUGCCGACUAGGGAUCGGAUGAUGUUAAUUUUAUAAUGACUCAUUCGGCGCCUUACG
rnacentral:rRNA from 1 species